UUAAUCUCUUCUGGUGCUGCCACGUAAGCUUCCACAUGGGUAAGUCGCUUGAUCUCGCGCCAACACGUGUCCAAUGAGACCAAAGCGCUGCGUUUCACUAACGCGUUCCAUGAUGGGCUUUCUCCGUCUGAUGCAUGUUGGGCUCUGAGUAAUGAUAGAGAACUGCGUAUCAUCUCUCCUUUCUUCCGGCGGCGACGCCUGAGUUUCUUUCACUGGUUGAAACGGACGGAGCUAUUACUUCGUCUUUAUUGCAAUUGAAUCCAUCGCCCACUAUGAGUCUUCAAAGCACCGUUCGUAUCUCCUGUGGAUCUGUAUAAAUAUAGUUUUUCUCUCCGACUUGAAGACUGGCAAGUGCUCUUCCAGCUACGAACAUGUUUUUGUAAUAUCUAGAUGGUUUGCUUAGGCUUAUUGGAUUUGUGUUCUAUAGAUCGAUGUCGGUUUAUUCAAGUAGCAUACUAAUAUCAGUUCGGUGAAGAGCACCGUAAGUGACCAUAAAAAUCGUGUCAUGGUGACACUCAAACUGGAAAAUGAUGAGUCUGUUACUCUUAGUCUAUUCGACUGUCAAACCGUUUCGUUCCACAAGAAGCUUGAAAGCAUGCGUGAUGAUCCAAAGGUGGUUGUUGACACGAACAUUAAUCCGAAGAUGAUUGGAGGUCGUUUGUUCCUGAACGCAACAUCAAGAAAGCAUGUUCAUUUUGAUAAGGAAACCAAUGCAGAGAUCUGUCUUCUAUAGAUUGGUGGUUAGGGACACUGGUCUUCCAUCUGCUGCACCACUGCUAAGAAAGGCACAACUAUCCUGGAGGUGAUAUAUGCCUUCUACCACAUGUACCGCCUGCAACUGCUCAGAUGGUGAGAAAGCAGCUAUUGACCAGAUCACCGGAGGUGAUGACAUCCUCUCAAACCACCCUGGGGUAUGGGAUGCAACAGACGCUGCUGAGCAGCCCACUUCUGGCGGAAGCAAUGCAGAGGAACAUCUGGUUCCAGCAGGAGGAAACACACUAAAAAGCACAUAUCUCCAGUUGUUGUUAUGCUUUCGUAAAUGAACACCCUCUCUUUGUCCUCUUGAUCUGCUGUUCUGAGUACUCUCUGAUCUGAGUUUCUUUUGUUUAUUUAGACCAGUUGAAGUCGAGUUCUUCUGAUGGUAAAAUCAGGAACCUAGGGAGAGUGAGAAACUACAUUGCCUUAUACCAGCACCUAAAGCAUAUGUUACACAUCUCUAUUGGCCCAAGAGUAUAGAUUAUGUGCCUUAUGCUAAUGCCCCGUAGAAGGCUAUUCAGAAAUGUAUUUAGUAUGAGAUGGACGUUUUUAGAUUCCUUGGUGGUGGAACUCAUUUCCCUUAAGGUGGUAGGAUUGCUUUGGACAAUGGUUGUGAGGUUAUGUCUUAUGUUUGCUUCUGUUUAUAUUCUUUGAGUCUCAUAUUCUUCAUUAGUGACGUUGUGGGAUCAUAUGUUUGUAGUUACUUUAUUUCGGUUUCACCACACGUGAAUUACCUGCUGAGAAGAUGUAUUUGGCUUUAAAAGUAGUUCUAUUAUGAUAAUGAUUAUAUGUUUGAAUAUUGCAUACAUGAAGGGACGAAGAUUCUAGACAUCUUCGAAUGGUCAAACAACAUUGCCGCCGUUGAUAAGUUGUGGCUGCAACUGAAGCGGUCGUUGCGUGAGGUCCUGAUCGUUAAGAGGAAAUCAUAUGGCACGAGCAUGAUGUUUCUCAUGCCACCACGAGCAUGCGAGCUCAAGGAACUUCAGAAAAGAUGCACUAAACGUUUUUACUAUAAGGAGAUGGAGAAGUUUUUGCAGUUGGUGUACCGUGUCUAGAGCAAAGCUUCACGUUUUUAUUUAUUUUCCGUUUUCCCUUUCAGUCACGUCUCAUUACGUUCAGUUUCCUUUUAGUUUUUUGCAUUUUAUGCAUGAAUAUUGUCGCUGGUUUGUAUACAUCACUUGAAGCUUCUAUCUGUUAUUUUGUCUUAAUUUUGAGAACUA